UACCAGCUCUCCGAGUGGUAGGGAUGAUUAUUGGGCUUAAAGCGUCCGUAGCCGGCUUAGCAAGUCUCCCGUUAAAUUCAGCGACCUAAUCGUUGAGCCGCGGGAGACACUACUAGGCUAGGAGGCGGGAGAGGCCGACGGUAUUCUCGGGGUAGGGGUGAAAUCCUAUAAUCCCGGGAGGACCACCAGUGGCGAAGGCUGUCGGCUAGAACGCGCUCGACGGUCAGGGACGAAAGCUGGGGGAGCGAACCGGAUUAGAUACCCGGGUAGUCCCAGCUGUAAACAAUGCGGGCUAGGUGUUGGGGUGGCUACGAGCCACUUCAGUGCCGCAGGGAAGCCAUUAAGCCCGCCGCCUGGGGAGUACGGCCGCAAGGCUGAAACUUAAAGGAAUUGGCGGGGGAGCACCACAAGGCGUGAAGCUUGCGGUUC
rnacentral:rRNA from 1 species